rnacentral:rRNA from 1 species
CCUACGGGGGGCUGCAGUGGGGAAUAUUGCACAAUGGGGGAAACCCUGAUGCAGCGAUGCCGCGUGUGUGAAGAAGUAUUUCGGUAUGUAAAGCACUAUCAGCAGGGAAGAAAAUGACGGUACCUGAUUAAGAAGCGCCGGCUAACUACGUGCCAGCAGCCGCGGUAAAACGUAGUGGGCAAGCGUUAGCCGGAUUUACUGGGUGUAAAGGGAGCGUAGACGGCAGCACAAGUCUGGAGUGAAAUGCCGGGGCUUAACCCGGGAACUGCUUUGGAAACUGUGCAGCUAGAGUGCAGGAGAGGGAAGUGGAAUUCCAGGUGUAGCGGUGAAAUGCGUAGAUAUUAGGAGGAACACCGGUGGCGAAGGCGGCUUACUGGAC